UAACAACUUGGCGCAAUUUGUA
rnacentral:siRNA from 1 species